GAUGAACGCUGGCGGCGUGCCUAAUACAUGCAAGUCGAGCGAACAGACGAGGAGCUUGCUCCUCUGACGUUAGCGGCGGACGGGUGAGUAACACGUGGAUAACCUACCUAUAAGACUGGGAUAACUUCGGGAAACCGGAGCUAAUACCGGAUAACAUGUUGAACCGCAUGGUUCAACAGUGAAAGACGGUCUUGCUGUCACUUAUAGAUGGAUCCGCGCCGCAUUAGCUAGUUGGUAAGGUAACGGCUUACCAAGGCAACGAUGCGUAGCCGACCUGAGAGGGGGAUCGGCCAAAAUGGAACUGAGAAAAGGUCCAGACUCCUAAGGGAGGCAGCAGUAGGGAAACUUCCGCAAUGGGCGAAAUCCUGACGGAGCAAAGCCGCGUGAGUGAAGAAGGUCUUCGGAUCGUAAAACUCUGUUAAUAGGGAAGAACAAAUGUGUAAGUAACUAUGCACGUCUUGACGGUACCUAAUCAGAAAGCCACGGCUAACUACGUG
rnacentral:rRNA from 1 species